rnacentral:rRNA from 1 species
GACGAACGCUGGCGGCGUGCUUAACACAUGCAAGUCGAACGGAAAGGCCCCUUUGGGGGUACUCGAGUGGCGAACGGGUGAGUAACACGUGAGUAACCUGCCCUUGACUUCGGGAUAACUUCAGGAAACUGGGGCUAAUACCGGAUAGGAAUCCUUGCUGCAUGGUGGGGGUUGGAAAGCUUCGGCGGUUUUGGAUGGACUCGCGGCUUAUCAGCUUGUUGGUGGGGUAGUGGCUUACCAAGGCUUUGACGGGUAGCCGGCCUGAGAGGGCGACCGGCCACAUUGGGACUGAGAUACGGCCCAGACUCCUACGGGAGGCAGCAGUGGGGAAUAUUGCACAAUGGGCGGAAGCCUGAUGCAGCAACGCCGCGUGCGGGAUGACGGCCUUCGGGUUGUAAACCGCUUUCAGCAGGGGCGAAGCUUGUGGUGACGGUACCAGCAGAAGAAGCACCGGCUAACUACGUG